rnacentral:tRNA from 1 species
GACUCCAUGGCCCAAUGGAUAAGGUUUUGGUCUACGAAACCAGAGAUUUUGAGUUCGAUCCCUAUUGGAGUCG